AAAUAGAGUUACCAUAUGAUCCAACAAUUCCACUUUUAUUUCUCUGCCAUUUAUUUAUUUAUUAAUCUUUUACCUGUGCUGUUGCUCUAGCUGUCUUGUACUUCCAACCUCUUUUCUCUCUGAUUUACCUUCCAUGUUGCUAUUGAAACGAUAUACAGUGGAUUAAUUCAUGUGAUUCUUAUGCUUAAAAUACUUUCCUGCCUUCAACAUGUCUACAGGACUACAUGAUCCCCAUUUCACAGGAAAAAAUCCUGAAACAGGAAGUCUAAGUCAUAUGCCCAGCUGAUACUUACUGGGUCCAGAAUUCAAAUCAGGGAGAGUCUGGCUCCAGAGCCCAUGCU
rnacentral:lncRNA from 10 species